rnacentral:lncRNA from 1 species
CUUCUUCUUCUUCUUCUUCUUCUUCUUCUUCUUCUUCUUCUUCUUCUUCUUCUUCUUCUUCUUCUUCUUCUUCUUCUUCUUCUUCUUCUUCUUCUUCUUCUUCUUUUUGUAUUUAAUUGGGUUAACCUUUGUGAAGAGCUGGCAUAUUUGACUUAAACACUGUAGCCAUAUAACUUACAAUAUGGCUGUCAGUGGUGGUCUUAUCUGUGUUCUCUGUCCUUUACCCUAUCAGCUCGUAGUGAAGUAAUGACCGAAUUUGUUUUAACUUGAAGAGAAGUCUGAGUUAAGAUAUAAAAUGAGUGCCCGAGAGAGAGAAAAUUCACAAAAUGAUCAAGAAAUAAAAAUUCAAAAGGUAGAAUUCAAUUAGUUUGAAUAAGAUUAUGAACAGAUCCAGAUUAAGUAAAUUAAUUUGUCUGGGAAAUUUUAUAGUUAGUCUUAAAAUUAAGAUGACAGUGAUACAGAGAAAGUAAGGCUUUAUUGUGGGUGGUUACUAUGGAGGUUUGAAAAAGAAUGACCCCCCAUAGGCUCCUAGAUUUGAAUGCUUGGUCACCAUGGAGUGGCACUAUGAGGAAGUGUGGCCCUGUUGGAGAAGGAAAUAUGUCACUGGGGGGAGCUUUGGGGUUUCAAUGUUCAACCCAGGUGCAGUGUCUCUCUUCCUGCAGCCCUCUGAUGCAAAUCUCUCAGCUUUUUCUACAGCACCAUGCCUGCCCACAUGCCACCAUGCUUCCCACCAUGAUGAUAAUGGACGGAAUCUCUGAACCUGUAGGCCAGCCCCAGUGAAAUGUUUUUCAUUAUAAAGUUGUCUUGGUUGUGGUGCUUCUUCACAUCUAUACAACCCUAACUGACACAGUUGUAGUAGGAUGUGGGAAGCAAAACUUGUUAUUCGUACAAUGUGAGUUUAUUUUGUAUAAUGACGGGAUCCUAAAGUAUCAUUAAGUAGAAUCACUCAACCAAGUGCCACAAAACUUUGGGAUAUAGCUAGUUACCCCAUUUUUAAAACGAGAAAGCAAAAUUCGUAAAGUCUCUGUGGCAUGUACAAGCCUAACUGCUCUGAGAAAACCAGAAGAAGAGGGAAGGCCUGGCCCCCGGGAACUGUGGCCCCCAGCCUCACUCUCAGGCCCCGAUACAGCUGUGAUUCUAGCUUAUUUGACUCCUCUACUAGGCAUGAUUUUCUGUUGUAUGCCCGAUACAUUCCCCAAAAGACUUUGUCUUGGUUGAACUAUUGAUGGGAUUCUGUUAUUUCUUAGAUGAACCAUUUCAGCAGUCUCUUUAGGGAAAAAAGAAAAACCAAAUCUAUUUGCUUCUAAAUAUAUACCACAGUAAGAAAACUGCUUAUUUCUUCGCUGUCCAGGUUUGCAUGAACAGUUAGCAAUAGGUACUGUGCUUUCCAUCCACCCAGUCAGAUCGAAUUGGCUCUAGGCUCAGUCUAGUUUGAGGUUAAAAGCUAUAAGCUCUCUUUUAUUGUUGGUGAUGUUGUUGUUGUUUUUGUUGUUGUUGUUGUUGUUGUGAUUGCAGUGCUGGUGCCCAAAUCUCGGCCAUUUACAUAUUGUAGUAAAUACUUAAGUGGGGGUUCAUUUGAUCAUAUAAAUAUAAAAGAUACAAAACUUUUAUUUUUACAAUAAGUCUUAAUAGCACUAGAGCUAGACAGAUAACAACCCUCUGUGCUAUUUUGUUUACCUCCCUAUCAUUAACCCAGAAAUUUGCUCUGUUCUGUCUGGGCCACUCUUACUCCAAUUGACCAGCACUCAUAGCCGUGUUUUCAUGAUCCAUCUGCCCCAUGAUGUCUUCUCCUCUCUUUUCUCUCCUUGUGAUCUCUCUCCAGACCCCAAGCUCCAGGAACAGAAACUCCAUCUACUUCUCUUCUGCCCAGCUAUAGGCUGUAGGCAUCUUUAUUCAACCAAUCAAUAGUUUUAUAUUAAGGAGCAAGGUUCCAUAGCAUCACUUGGUGUAUGUGAGGAUUCCCCUUCUCACUGAUGCAACAAGAUCUUGGGGGGGGGGCAGGGGUUCAGUAAAUAAACAGCAAGAGACCCAACCUUAUUACCCACAAUGCUACACAUGCGCUUUAUCACCAACCGCGGACUCAGCCCCCUGGAAACUCACUCUGAGUAAGCCAUAGGUUACAGUAUGUAUUAUUUUGCCUUCCAUAUCUGAAAGCACAAGAUGUUAUCUUUGAUGGACAGAAGUAAAGUAACUCUUUUACUAAAUAAAAUUGGAAAACCCAUUAACUUGCCUGCUUAUAUUAGCAAUUACUUGUCUUCAUGUCUUCAACAUCUGUGGCCAAUGAUCUGUUAAUGUCCUUCUCUUUCAUUUUGUACAUAAUUAGAUGUAAUUGGUAUGGUCAUUUCAUUCCUGCUUAUAUUAAUGGAAUUACAUCUAUUUAAAGCAUAGAAGUAAGGUGCAGGGUUUUCAGACUGGU